AUUGAACGCUGGCGGCAGGCCUAACACAUGCAAGUCGAGCGGAUGAAGGGAGCUUGCUCCUGGAUUCAGCGGCGGACGGGUGAGUAAUGCCUAGGAAUCUGCCUGGUAGUGGGGGAUAACGUCCGGAAACGGGCGCUAAUACCGCAUACGUCCUGAGGGAGAAAGUGGGGGAUCUUCGGACCUCACGCUAUCAGAUGAGCCUAGGUCGGAUUAGCUAGUUGGUGGGGUAAAGGCCUACCAAGGCGACGAUCCGUAACUGGUCUGAGAGGAUGAUCAGUCACAGUGGAACUGAGACACGGUCCAGACUCCUACGGGAGGCAGCAGUGGGGAAGAUUGGACAAUGGGCGAAAGCCUGAUCCAGCCAUACGGCGUGUGUGAAGAAAGUCUUCGGAUUGUAAAGCACUUUAAGUUGGGAGGAAGAGCAGUAAGUUAAUACCUUGCUGUUGUGACGUUACCAACAGAAUAAGCACCGGCUAACUUCGUG
rnacentral:rRNA from 1 species